rnacentral:lncRNA from 1 species
CAUCCAUAGCUUACCCAAGCAUCUAGGAAGGUAGUCAAGGACUGCACAUCUAGAUAUUUUAAAAAGGAGUCUGUGUCAAGGAUUCAUUAAACUCAUGAAGGACUCAGCAGAAUGGUGAAGCUGUUUCAAAGAAGAUUUAAGAAACUAGGUAUAUAACGUCAUUGAAAGGAUACUGGAAUGAGAUUGCUAAGUCAUAUAUAAAAUAAACCAUGACAUCUGGGUCAUAAUAGUUCCAUUUGCAUCUCUCCAGAAAUUAAUUUCAUUUUCACUCCUUUUAGACUAGAAUAAUUUACAUCUCUGCUUUCUACGAGUUAACAUCUACCCUUACAGAGUUGAAAAAUAUCUGAAAUAGUAAACAGCAAGUCACACAGAGGUGCACACUCCUAGAGAAUCAGAAUAACUCUGGGCAGGCUGUUAGACAAUGCUCAACACAACACUGAAAAAAGAGGCAGAAAUCCCGUUGUCUUUUUCCAGGUUUUGGACACAUUGUCCAACAGCCAUCCUUGUGAUCAUAAUUCCUGAAGAUAAUUCUUGAUCACAAAAGCUAGUCUUAUUUUAUUUUGUUCUGAUUCAUUAACAUUGGUUCAGCAAAAAGUGUUAAUUAAACACAAAUUUCCUUGACGUAUGGUCAGCAAACCCAGUGCCAUGAGGUGUUGUGCUUAGGGUUUUGACUAGGGCCAAAAUAUUACCUUCUGUCUGGAGAACGUAUGUGGAAUCUAGUAGUGGCUUCUCAGUAGGCCAGAGACGUUUUUGUUGUUCUUAUUGGCAGUCAUGUUUUGAAGCUAGAAAACCAAACCCAAGAAAUUCAUUUCUAUCCAUUUUUCCCGGAGUACCUGUAAAUGCAGAUGAAUUUCUCUCUUGCUGUGAAAUUUCCAAAUCCACUAAGGUAUCUGAUCUGCCAAGAAAUGACUCUUUCUGCCACCUAAAAUUCUAGGAUCCAGAAAUCCAUAAAACAGGUGCCAGUCGGGUCUCCUAAAAGGGCUUUCUUUGUGAGCCUUCGUUCCACGUAUGAAGCACAACACCUGUUCCCCAGUGGGAGGCAUAUCAUGUCUGACUAAAUGAGACUUAUUCUCAUGUGACACUUUAUGUAUUUGGCUUUGGUUACACAAUUUUUCUAACCAUACCCUGCUUAAACAAAUAAACAAAUAAAACUUAUUGACUUGUUAAAAAACUAUCUUCUUUUGAAAUCAGAGAUUUAGUUAAAAAAAAAAAAAGCCAUUUGUCUCUGAAUUUGACAAUGUUUUAAAUAAUGGUUCAUUUCAGUUUGCAAAGACAUAGUCUAAAAUACGGAUCAGCAAAGUUUUACUGUAAAAGACCAGAUAAUAAAUGUUUUCAGUUUUGUGAGCCAUGAGUCUACUGCAAGAUUUGUGCUCAGAUCUGCCAUUGUAGCAUGAAAGAAGCCAUAGACAGCAUGUAAACAAUGGGCACACAGAUUAGAUUUGACCUGUGGCAAGCUGGAUCUGGACCAGGGAUUACAGUUUUCUUAUCCCUAGUUUAAAGUAAAGGUUAGGCAUUGAUCAAGAAGAAAGAGAAAGGGCUUCAUUCUAUGUCCAUGAGAAAAUAGAACAGUACACACAAUACCAGUACAUAAGAAGAGGAUAAAUAAUAUCCCAAUACAAAUAACCACAACUACGUUCACCUUAUCAGUUCACUCAGUUCCAUGUAACUAAUUCUUGUUGCUCUGAAUAUUGAAUUUGCAGUCUGUUUUUACAAAGUGGCUGCUUCUGGAUUAAAAAAAAGUCCUGGAGAUCCUGAUUCAGUCCUCUCCUGAAAUCUGCAGUUGUCUAAGUGGUGUCAGCGUGUAAGUUUGUACCCAAAAUCUAUUAUCUAAAGUAUCAGCAGGUAAGAGGAACUUGUUCUUUCCAUUAAGGCUCUGAGGAUGCCUAUCUUGUUAAAACACCAACUUUUUAACCUGUAGCUUAUAGCAGGGUCUUCGGUUAAGCAUGAGAAGAAAGCCAGAAGUUGAUAAGCCUGAGCGUUAGUGAUUUUUUUAUAGUAAUCAACAAUAUUAGAAGGGAAGAAAGCAAAAGCAUCUGUAAGAAUGAUAUAACAGUAACCGUGUAACUAUUUUACAAGAUUUGGGUCAAUGUUACGCCUGAGAGUAAGAACAUAUCACAGACAGUGAGGGCAUCGACAGCCCUUCGGGACACUCCUAAGAUGUACAGCCUCAGAGAGAAAAUUAACCCGGCAGAGCGGAGAGGCGUCUUUCUUCAUAUAGCUCUUUCCUAGCUCUCAGGUAGCUCUCACCUUUAUUUUUUCCCCUUGACUCCAUCCUUUGCCCUUUUCUCUUAUCAAUUGUGGGCUCUCCCUGAGAGAUUUUCUUUCUCUUGAUUUAAUAUCAAGUGUCACAUACUAACCAUUUGUAUUUUUAGAAAUCUUGCCCAACCUUGUCAUCUGCCUCUGGGACAGCUCCAUCAGAGGUCUUAGAAUCAUUGAAAUCUCAACCUGUUCAAAGAGGAACUUAUUCGGUCAUCCAUUCUGGUCCUGAUGGGGUGACUGAUCGGCCACAAGCAAAUAUGAAACAGGGCAAUAUAUGUGAAGAAAUGAGUUUUAGGCACUGAAAAGCACAUAAUCCCAGACUGCGCUCCUUGAAAGAAGGGAAAGACUCCAAGCGAACCACACAGUGAUCCUGCUUGCUGCCUGAGGCACCUUUGGGACAUCAGUGUCGUGUGGAGUACAGCGGUUUCUUCUGGUUCCUUAGCUGAGAGCUUGGCUGCACAUUUGCAGGGCGAGGCUUCCUGAGGCUUAGGAGAGAGUGGCUGCGAUGAGCUAGCAGUCAUCUGGUGCUGUGAGACAUUGAAGUCUGGCCCAUCCCAGAUGGAAUGUCUUCAGUUAACAUUGCAAGGGUUCAGUUAGGAACUCGUAAAAGGCCACAUGCUAGGAUUAAGGACCAUGCCCUAGAGCAGGGGUCAGGGAACUACGGCCAAAUUUGGCUUGAGGCAUGUUUUUGUGUGACCUGUGAGCUAAGAAUAAUAAUUACAUCAUUACAAGUGUUAUUCAGAUGCAGGAGGAGUAGCAGCAGGAGCUGGAAGAAGAUGAAAGGAGAACAAGAAAAAGACAGAGACCAUAUAUUGCUCACAAGAGUUAAAAUAUUUACUACCUGGUUUUUUAUAGACAACAUUUGCCAACCUCUGAAAGAGAGCAAAAGCCAUGUCCUGGGACCAAGGAUAAACAUGAAACAGAACCAUCCUAACAAGAAUAAAACCAAACCAGAGAAAGAAAAUUUGCCAAUGAUUUAGCCUUUUUGCAGAACAGAACCAACCUUCUUUAAAGAAAAUAAUAUAAUCCACACUCCUUAGACAUCAUCCACAAUGUUCAACAUGCAAUAAAAAGUUGUUAGACUAUGAGCAAUUAGAACUAUGCUCCCUAUGAUCAAAGGGAAAAAACACUAGUCAAUGGAUAUAGACUUGGAUAUGACCCAAAUGUUGUACUUAGCAGACUAGGACUUUGAAACUGCCAUUACAAAAAUGUUCAAAGAC